rnacentral:rRNA from 1 species
UACGGGGGGGGCAAGCGUUGUUCGGAAUUACUGGGCGUAAAGGGCUCGUAGGCGGCCAACUAAGUCAGACGUGAAAUCCCUCGGCUUAACCGGGGAACUGCGUCUGAUACUGGAUGGCUUGAAUCCGGGAGAGGGAUGCGGAAUUCCAGGUGUAGCGGUGAAAUGCGCAGAUAUCGGGAGGAACACCAAUGGCGAAGGCAGCUCGCUGGGACGGUACUGACGCUGAGGCGCGAAAGCGUGGGGAGCGAACAGG